rnacentral:rRNA from 1 species
UACGUAGGGGGCAAGCGUUGUCCGGAAUUAUUGGGCGUAAAGAGCGCGUAGGCGGUCCGGUAAGUCGGUUGUGAAAGUCGGGGGCUCAACCCUCGGAUGCCGAUCGAUACUGUCGGGCUAGAGUCCGGAAGAGGAGAGUGGAAUUCCUGGUGUAGCGGUGAAAUGCGCAGAUAUCAGGAAGAACACCAAUGGCGAAAGCAGCUCUCUGGGACGGUACUGACGCUGAGACGCGAAAGCGUGGGGAGCGAACAGG